GAUGAACGCUGGCGGCGUGCCUAAUACAUGCAAGUCGAGCGAACAGACGAGGAGCUUGCUCCUCUGACGUUAGCGGCGGACGGGUGAGUAACACGUGGAUAACCUACCUAUAAGACUGGGAUAACUUCGGGAAACCGGAGCUAAUACCGGAUAAUAUAUUGAACCGCAUGGUUCAAUAGUGAAAGACGGUUUUGCUGUCACUUAUAGAUGGAUCCGCGCCGCAUUAGCUAGUUGGUACGGUAACGGCUUACCAAGGCCACGAUGCGUAGCCGACCUGAGAGGGUGAUCGGCCACACGGGAACUGAGACACGGUCCAGGCUCCUACGGGAGGCAGCAGUAGGGAAUCUUCCGCAAUGGGCGAAAGCCUGACGGAGCAACGCCGCGUGAGUGAUGAAGGUCUUCGGAUCGUAAAACUCUGUUAUUAGGGAAGAACAAAUGUGUAAGUAACUAUGCACGUCUUGACGGUACCUAAUCAGAAAGCCACGGCUAACUACGUG
rnacentral:rRNA from 1 species